CCACGGAGCCGGUGCUCACAGCAAUGUUCUGAGGGAUCACACAGAAAACAAAUACAUCUCUGGGCCAGGAAGUGGAAGACAUGAUAGAAAAGAAUUCCAUAGAUCCUGUUUUACAGUCACUGGAGUAGAGAGAAAUAUUCUGCUCACACCAGGCAUCAGCAGAAUGGCUUAUUCUUCAUCUCUCCUGGGGCUAAAGAUGAUGAGCUCAUCAAAUCUCCAUAACAAGUGUGGAGAAUAGCCAAGAGGAAGAAAGGGUACAGAGCAGAGAACGAACCGCAGCUAGCAAAGGAAAUAUGGAUGUCCCAUGAC